AUGGCUCAGAUUGAACGCUGGCGGCAUGCCUUACACAUGCAAGUCGAACGGCAGCACGGGAGCUUGCUCCUGGUGGCGAGUGGCGAACGGGUGAGUAAUACAUCGGAACGUACCCUGAAGUGGGGAUAACGUAGCGAAAGUUACGCUAAUACCGCAUAUUCUGUGAGCAGGAAAGAGGGGGAUCGCAAGACCUCUUGCUUUAGGAGCGGCCGAUGUCGGAUUAGCUAGUUGGUGAGGUAAAGGCUCACCAAGGCGACGAUCCGUAGCGGGUCUGAGAGGAUGAUCCGCCACACUGGGACUGAGACACGGCCCAGACUCCUACGGGAGGCAGCAGUGGGGAAUUUUGGACAAUGGGCGCAAGCCUGAUCCAGCCAUGCCGCGUGAGUGAAGAAGGCCUUCGGGUUGUAAAGCUCUUUCGGUGGGGAAGAAAUUGCUUCGGUUAAUACCUGGAGUAGAUGACGGUACCCGCAUAAGAAGCACCGGCUAACUACGUG
rnacentral:rRNA from 1 species